rnacentral:lncRNA from 1 species
GUGUGGGUUGACAUAUAGCAAGAAGCUUUUCACUUGGGGUUCAUAUGUAUAGGCAUAUAGCAAGAAGCUUUUCACUUGGGGUUCAUAUGUAUAGGCAUAUAGCAAGAAGCUUUUCACCUGGGGUUCGUAUGGAUAGUAAAAAAGGAAUUGUAAUCGACUAGUAAUAGAGUGUUGAGAUUUGUUAUAUGUCUAUACAUUGUAGAAAAUUAUUGUAAAUAUAGAAGGGGGAAAAAAGGGAUUCCGUGUCCCAAAUACCUGUGAUUUAUGCAUUCCUGCGGCUUUCAAAUGAUUGGAUUUGG